rnacentral:sRNA from 1 species
CUGGCAGCCCUAGAGAAUGAAGUCAUUAUUUAUCCACAGAAAAUUUACAGCAGAGGCAGUGGCAACACAAAACUACACACACACUGCGGACCUGUGAGGAGUGAAGAUAAUUUAGUCUCAAUGCCCAUUCAGUCCUUGUGCUCUC